rnacentral:rRNA from 1 species
UACGUAGGGUGCAAGCGUUGUCCGGAAUCACUGGGCGUAAAGGGCGCGUAGGCGGCCUGAUAAGUCGGGGGUGAAAUCCUGCGGCUUAACCGCAGGGCUGCCUUCUAAACUGUCAGGCUAGAGCACAGUAGAGGCAGGUGGAAUUCCCGGUGUAGCGGUGGAAUGCGUAGAGAUCGGGAAGAACAUCAGUGGCGAAGGCGGCCUGCUGGGCUGUUGCUGACGCUGAGGCGCGACAGCGUGGGGAGCAAACAGG